UGUGCGGUUUUCACGAACCGAGUCAAUCGUAUACAUGGGGUCCUGGUAUAUGCCUGGACUCAACCAGUUCACAACAACGGCGUAAAGCGAAGGAGCUUUGAUAUUCAGGUACAAUUAUUUAAUCUCAACACCUCCUCUGACCGUGGUCGUCAGCACGGGGCGUGGUGGUGACGAGGGAGAGCCAUCGGAUCAGCAACGAUCGCCAACGAAAGUGGUUGUCACGAACAGCGUCAAUCGCGACCAUAUCAUGGGAUCCUGGUAUAUAUUUUGUCUCAAGUACCCAAUAAGAUCUGCAGCGACAGUCAAUCCCGCCGACAGUCGUGAACGGGUAUUUCCACUGCAAUACGUACCUAUUUGUCCAUUUAAAAAUAAUUUUGUUAUUACUUGUUAAAAUGUAAAAUAAAAAUAAUAUUAUUUUAUUUAUA